UGGGGAAUAUUGGACAAUGGGCGAAAGCCUGAUCCAGCCAUGCCGCGUGUGUGAAGAAGGCCUUUUGGUUGUAAAGCACUUUAAGCGAGGAGGAGGCUACUUAGAUUAAUACUCUAGGAUAGUGGACGUUACUCGCAGAAUAAGCACCGGCUAACUCUGUGCCAGCAGCCGCGGUAAUACAGAGGGUGCGAGCGUUAAUCGGAUUUACUGGGCGUAAAGCGUGCGUAGGCGGCUUUUUAAGUCGGAUGUGAAAUCCCUGAGCUUAACUUAGGAAUUGCAUUCGAUACUGGGAAGCUAGAGUAUGGGAGAGGAUGGUAGAAUUCCGGGUGUAGCGGUGAAAUGCGUAGAGAUCUGGAGGAAUACCGAUGGCGAAGGCAGCCAUCUGGCCUAAUACUGACGCUGAGGUACGAAAGCAUGGGGAGCAAACAGG
rnacentral:rRNA from 1 species